rnacentral:rRNA from 1 species
UACGUAGGGGGCGAGCGUUGUUCGGAUUUACUGGGCGUAAAGCGCACGUAGGCGGAUCGAUCAGUCAGGGGUGAAAUCCCAGAGCUCAACUCUGGAACUGCCUUUGAUACUGUCGAUCUGGAGUAUGGAAGAGGUGAGUGGAAUUCCGAGUGUAGAGGUGAAAUUCGUAGAUAUUCGGAGGAACACCAGUGGCGAAGGCGGCUCACUGGUCCAUUACUGACGCUGAGGUGCGAAAGCGUGGGGAGCAAACAGG